GCGAAGAUGGUGGAGUGAGGCUCGUUGAGGCUAUCUGGCCUUUGGGCCAGGGGGCGGGCCGGCCCUGGGGCGCUGGAGUGCUUCUGCUGGCCCGUGCGAGGAAGAACAGUUUCCUUGCCAUUUAGGUGCUUUUAUAUUCAUCUCAAAAAGAAAACAAAAUGCUGAACUCGGGAUUUGGCAAGUAUUUCUACAUUGUCUCCUGGAGUGGGGUAGUCCUACUUCUUUUAUCCGGUCACCUUCCCUAUUGAAAUGUGGAUAUCUCUUCUCUACACUUUACCUCCAUGAUUAGGAUUGGAAAAGGCUGCUUUUCUUUUUGUUCUACCACCCCGAUUCAACACAGAGAAGCUCCUGGGGUGCAGUCAUCCUGCCAGGUUCUCUUGGAAGAAAGAAGCAGCUGACAUGUAUCUUCAGCUGCUAUUUGCUUAAUCACAAAGAAAUUAUUUCAAAAGCUGAAGGCUGAUGUCUGAUUUGAAACAGAUGCUUUGAUGGUGAUGUUUGUGAAUUCUUUACCUUUUGUUCCAAACAAGAAGACUGAAUAUAAAUAGUAGGACAUCA